rnacentral:rRNA from 1 species
UACAGAGGUCCCAAGCGUUGUUCGGCUUCACUGGGCGUAAAGGGUGCGUAGGCGGUCGGGUAAGUCUGAUGUGAAAUCUCACAGCUUAACUGUGAAACUGCAUUGGAUACUAUCCGGCUAGAGGAAUGGAGGGGAGACUGGAAUACUUGGUGUAGCAGUGAAAUGCGUAGAUAUCAAGUGGAACACCAGUGGCGAAGGCGAGUCUCUGGACAUUUCCUGACGCUGAGGCACGAAAGCCAGGGGAGCAAACGGG